UACGUAGGGUGCAAGCGUUGUCCGGAAUUAUUGGGCGUAAAGAGCUCGUAGGCGGUUUGUUGCGUCGGCUGUGAAAUCCCGAGGCUCAACCUCGGGUCUGCAGUCGAUACGAGCAAACUAGAGUGUUGCAGGGGAGACUGGAAUUCCUGGUGUAGCGGUGAAAUGCGCAGAUAUCAGGAGGAACACCGGUGGCGAAGGCGGGUCUCUGGGCAACAACUGACGCUGAGGAGCGAAAAGUGCG
rnacentral:rRNA from 1 species